UUCCUACGGGAGGCAGCAGUAAGGAAUAUUGGGCAAUGGAGGCAACUCUGACCCAGCCAUCCCGCGUGAAGGAUUAAGGCCCUAUGGGUUGUAAACUUCUUUUGUUUGGGAAGAAAUCAGGACAUUCAUGUGCUGUUGACGGUACCUUACGAAUAAGCACCGGCUAACUCCGUGCCAGCAGCCGCGGUAAUACGGAGGGUGCAAGCGUUAUCCGGAAUCACUGGGUUUAAAGGGUGCGUAGGCGGUUUGAUAAGUCAGAGGUGAAAGCUAGCAGCUUAACUGUUAAAUUGCCUUUGAUACUGUCAGACUUGAAUCAAGUUGAGGUAGGCGGAAUGUGACAUGUAGCGGUGAAAUGCAUAGAUAUGUCAUAGAACACCAAUUGCGUAGGCAGCUUGCUGGGCUUGAAUUGACGCUGAGGCACGAAAGCGUGGGGAUCAAACAGGAUUAGAUACCCUGGUAGUCCACGCCCUAAACGAUGUUAACUCGAUAUUUAUUCUUCGGAGUGAGUGUCCAAGCGAAAGCGUUAAGUUAACCACCUGGGGAGUACGUUCGCAAGAAUGAAACUCAAAUGAAUUGACGGAA
rnacentral:rRNA from 1 species